rnacentral:ribozyme from 1 species
GAAAAGAUGGUGUGUGUAUGUGUGUGUUUUUUGUUUUCUUUCGUAUUUUCUUUUCAUUUCUGCCUCUGCAUCUCUUUUUUCCUUUCUUCUUUCUUCCGCCAUUUUUU